AUUGAACGCUGGCGGCAGGCUUAACACAUGCAAGUCGAGCGGGGAGAUGUAGCUUGCUACAUCUCCUAGCGGCGGACGGGUGAGUAAUGCUUAGGAAUCUGCCUAUUAGUGGGGGACAACAUUCCGAAAGGAAUGCUAAUACCGCAUACGCCCUACGGGGGAAAGCAGGGGAUCUUCGGACCUUGCGCUAAUAGAUGAGCCUAAGUCGGAUUAGCUAGUUGGUGGGGUAAAGGCCUACCAAGGCGACGAUCUGUAGCGGGUCUGAGAGGAUGAUCCGCCACACUGGGACUGAGACACGGCCCAGACUCCUACGGGAGGCAGCAGUGGGGAAUAUUGGACAAUAGGCGCAAGCCUGAUCCAGCCAUGCCGCGUGUGUGAAGAAGGCCUUUUGGUUGUAAAGCACUUUAAGCGAGGAGGAGGCUCCUUUAGUUAAUACCUAAAGAGAGUGGACGUUACUCGCAGAAUAAGCACCGGCUAACUCUGUG
rnacentral:rRNA from 1 species